rnacentral:rRNA from 1 species
GGAAUAUUGGACAAUGGGCGAAAGCCUGAUCCAGCCAUGCCGCGUGUGUGAAGAAGGUCUUCGGAUUGUAAAGCACUUUAAGUUGGGAGGAAGGGUUGUAGAUUAAUACUCUGCAAUNNNNACGUUACCGACAGAAUAAGCACCGGCUAA